UACGUAGGGACCGAGCGUUGUCCGGAAUCAUUGGGCGUAAAGAGCGUGUAGGCGGCUUGUUAAGUCUUGCGUGAAAUCUCGGGGCUCAACCCCGAGCGGUCGUGAGAAACUGGCAGGCUAGAGUGCGGGAGAGGAGAGUGGAAUUCCUGGUGUAGCGGUGAAAUGCGCAGAUAUCAGGAAGAACACCCGUGGCGAAGGCGGCUCUCUGGAACGCAACUGAUGCUGAGACGCGAAAGCGUGGGGAGCAAACAGG
rnacentral:rRNA from 1 species